AUUGAACGCUGGCGGCAGGCCUAACACAUGCAAGUCGAGCGGAUGAAGGGAGCUUCCUCCUGGAUUCAGCGGCGGACGGGUGAGUAAUGCCUAGGAAUCUGCCUGGUAGUGGGGGAUAACGUCCGGAAACGGGCGCUAAUACCGCAUACGUCCUGAGGGAGAAAGUGGGGGAUCUUCGGACCUCACGCUAUCAGAUGAGCCUAGGUCGGAUUAGCUAGUUGGUGGGGUAAAGGCCUACCAAGGCGACGAUCCGUAACUGGUCUGAGAGGAUGAUCAGUCACACUGGAACUGAGACACGGUCCAGACUCCUACGGGAGGCAGCAGUGGGGAAUAUUGGACAAUGGGCGAAAGCCUGAUCCAGCCAUGCCGCGUGUGCGAAGAAGGUCUUCGGAUUGUAAAGCACUUUAAGUUGGGAGGAAGGGCAGUAAGUUAAUACCUUGCUGUUUUGACGUUACCAACAGAAUAAGCACCGGCUAACUUCGUG
rnacentral:rRNA from 1 species